AACGAACGCUGGCGGCGUGCUUAACACAUGCAAGUCGAACGCGAAAGGGACUUCGGUCCUGAGUAAAGUGGCGCACGGGUGAGUAACGCGUAGAUAACCUGUCUUCAUGUCUGGAAUAAUACGCCGAAAGGGGUACUAAUACCGGAUAGUUCUUGCUUUUCAUAAGUUAUGCAAGCAAAGGUGGCCUCUGCAUAUGCUACUGCAUGAAGAGGGGUCUGCGUACCAUUAGCUAGUAGGUGGGGUAAUGGCCUACCUAGGCGACGAUGGUUAGCGGGUCUGAGAGGAUGAUCCGCCACACUGGCACUGGAACACGGGCCAGACUCCUACGGGAGGCAGCAGUGAGGAAUAUUGCGCAAUGGGGGAAACCCUGACGCAGCGACGCCGCGUGAGUGAAGGAAGGCCUUCGGGUCGUAAAGCUCUGUCAAGAGGAAAGAAGUGUACAAUGGCUAAUACCUGUUGUAUUUGACGGUACCUCUAAAGGAAGCACCGGCUAACUCCGUGCCAGCCGCUGC
rnacentral:rRNA from 1 species